rnacentral:rRNA from 1 species
CAGUCGCCACGGGAAUACAGAGGGUGCGAGCGUUAAUCGGAUUUACUGGGCGUAAAGCGUGCGUAGGCGGCUUCUUAAGUCGGAUGUGAAAUCCCUGAGCUUAACUUAGGAAUUGCAUUCGAUACUGGGAAGCUAGAGUAUGGGAGAGGAUGGUAGAAUUCCAGGUGUAGCGGUGAAAUGCGUAGAGAUCUGGAGGAAUACCGAUGGCGAAGGCAGCCAUCUGGCCUAAUACUGACGCUGAGGUACGAAAGCAUGGGGAGCAAACAGGAUUAGAUACCCGCGUAGUCCCUGUCUCUUAACA